CCUAUAACACGAAUGUAAUGUAUUUAACGAGCUGAAUGAUAUAGAUAUUUUGUAGAUGCAAAAAUGAAAUUUGUCUGAUCUAACUAUCUUGAGAAAAAAAAUUAAAGAGUAAUCGUAUAUCGUAAAUCUAUAAUGAUAUUGAUCUUGAUGAAGAAGAAAGCACUAUUCGCAUUUUAAUUAAAUAUUAGAAGAAGAUUACGAUUGCUUGACCAAUAUCGUUAUGAGACAGCCAGUUGUUCCAGGGGUCAUCAAUUAUCAUAAUAUUAUCACUAAUGAUUGAUAAAGAAGAAAUAUAGAUGAUCGUAACUUAUGGUAUCAAAUGAAAAAGAUCAAAAGAUAAUCUCAAAAGAUGAACCAUGUGAACUUCGAAGAAUGUUGCAAUAGUUACAGACCAGUUAUACUGAUAGCAGAAUUUGAAGAUAUUUCAAUUUUCAAGAUUAACAAGAAGUUUUAUAUGUUCAGCAUUCACAAUCAUAUCUUGUUGAAAUUGUGAUAUUCAGAUUCUUUUGAUAAAAGAGAAAUACAAUAUAUACUGAUUACGA